rnacentral:rRNA from 1 species
CCUACGGGUGGCUGCAGUGGGGAAUAUUGGACAAUGGGGGGAACCCUGAUCCAGCCAUGCCGCGUGUGUGAAGAAGGCCCUCGGGUUGUAAAGCACUUUCAGUGAGGAAGAACGCCUGGUGGUUAAUACCCAUCAGGAAAGACAUCACUCACAGAAGAAGCACCGGCUAACUCUGUGCCAGCAGCCGCGGUAAUACGGAGGGUGCGAGCGUUAAUCGGAAUUACUGGGCGUAAAGCGCGCGUAGGUGGCUUGAUAAGCCGGUUGUGAAAGCCCCGGGCUCAACCUGGGAACGGCAUCCGGAACUGUCAAGCUAGAGUGCAGGAGAGGAAGGUAGAAUUCCCGGUGUAGCGGUGAAAUGCGUAGAGAUCGGGAGGAAUACCAGUGGCGAAGGCGGCCUUCUGGACUGACACUGACACUGAGGUGCGAAAGCGUGGGUAGCAAACAGGAUUAGAUACCCCAGUAGUC